ensembl:lncRNA
GGCAGGCACAGGAGAAUACUUGCUGCUCAGUGGGCACAGGUUUCUGCUGAAAAAGUUUCUUUCUGAGAGCAGGUGUGAUCAGGGCUGAUUGACCCACUGGCAGGGUAGGUGCAGCACAUAGGGCCUGUAAAGAUGUUUUAAUUUCUUUUAAAAUCAGAAGAAAGACAUGAAUAUAAUUCAUCCAGGGUUAUAUUUGUCUUUAUACCAAUACAGUCAUAAAAUAUAAUUUUUCAUGUAUAUAUAUUCUUUGGAGGAAGGGACCCAUGAAGACAAAAGUGCCUGAGACUCCUGAAAGUCAUAAUGUGGCCCUGGGUACAGUAGGCAUCCUUAUUUUUGUCUGCCCACCAUGUAUUUCCUCUUCUUCUGGGAACUCAGAACCUCAGUGUUCCUUCAGGGGACCACUCCUAUAUUCUCAGUCCUGUGAGAUUCGGAUGGGUUUUUGUCAAUCCUGGAAUCCAAGAAUGCUCAUGUGACUCAGGCCCAGCCAAUCAGAAGCCCACAUCCCUUGCCCUCUGUGAUUGGCUCACCAUGAGUCAGUGACUCAAGUCGGGCCAAUCAGGGCCAACGAGACCCACUUCUGGGACUUUUCUUGGAACUGUGGGCCGUGAGGAAUAGAAUGUAGGCCAGAGAUGCUGGUCUCCAUCUUUGUCACUACGUGGGGGUUGAGAAACAAGCCUGGGGAUCUUGGCAGCACCUCCCAGCAUCCACUCGAUCAACGCACUGCACUGCCUGCUCUUCCUCGUCAUAGAGUCUGUGUCUCGAAGACUUUGGGCUCCGCGACAGCUCCCUUUUUCAAGUCUCAAAUAUGCCUGGAUUGGUGGGGAGGGGUAUCUACAGCUUAGAUUUCAUUAUCAGUUAAUUAGCAGCUGGUUUAACUGUCAGCCCCUCCUGGGGUCUUUUGCUAGCAUCAGAGAACACUAAUGGGACAGACGACAUCAAGACUGGAUGGGACAAGUGACAAGAGGUCUACCAUGAAGCAGAAGGAGAAGCUGAGAGGGAGGGAAAGUCACAUUCCUCUUUUCCUCCCUGAGCUCAAGGCAGAUUCUGCCUGGGGUGAGGGUAGGAGAGAACAGGGCAAUGUGGGGGUUUUAAGUCAGACUUUGCCAACCUCACAAUUUUGCCCAAGGCCAAUCCUACCUCAGACAUCCCCUCUUCCUCUUGUUUGAACUUCUAAUUUUCUGUUUGCCAAGAUGGCUGCCUGUUCAGAUGAAUGAAAGAUCACAGUUUGAUCUGACCCAGAGUUUGGUUCUUUUCUCCCUCCUUCAGCAUCACAGUUCACGCAUCUGAGGGCUGCAGCUAAAAAGUGAUUUUUAAAGACUUCUCAUUGGCAAAGAAAUCAAUGGAAAGAAACCUCUGCCCCCCUCUCCAUUCUGCUUUUAGUCUUUGUUCUCCUCCAAUCCCCUGCUAGGCAAGUUUUGUCUGAGGCCAUCUAACACACUUUGUCAGAAAGUUGCCUUGUUAAGGAUUGAGGUCCUGCUGGGUGAGCUGAGGAGGUGGUGAGAUUUCCCCACAGUCUUGGCAAUUAACUCAGCUUGAGGAAGGGGGUAGAAUCAAGAAUUCUAUCAGGAAGAUGGAAUCCUAAGGCAAAGUCAUCUUUCAAGGACAGGGUUAUUGCUAAAAUAGCUCUAUGGCAGCCUCCAAGGAACAAGUCCCUGGAAGGAGUGGUGUUACCUGGAGGGGACAGGUAGGAGGGGGAUGACCUUUCAAAAAGGUGUGGAAGAAAAGGCUCAGGCACCCAGGAUGCUCUGCACUCCAGCUGACACUCAAUGGCUGUGUCAUCUUGGCUCCACUCUUCUCUGCACAGACCACCUCAUCUAUAACUCAUAGUUUCUGCAGAUCAAAAUAUCAGCUUGCACCAGACUUUGCAGGUGCUCCAUCCCUACUCUGCCUCAUGAGCUUUCGGCUUUCAUUCCCAUGAACAGAUGCCACCUUGUGUUUCUUAGUUCACAUUCUGAGAGAGGGAGUCUGAUUGGUUCAGCUCAUCUUUAUGCACUACGCCUCUGGAUUGGCUGCCUUUAGGUCAGGUGAUUGAAUCUAAGCCAAUCAGCUGUCCACAGAAGGGUGGACUCACACCUCGUAGCUUGGAAGCUGGCUCAGAAGGGACUGGUGCAGAGUGUGGCUGCCUACACGGGAACUGAGGACACUCACUUUUGGGACACAGACACCAUGCUGUGAGGAAGCCCAAGCAGCCUGAAGAGAGCAACCAAGCUCCCCAGCCCAUAGCUCUGGCUGGGUUCCCAGGCUAAAACUGGCACCAACUUGCUGGCCAUGUAAAGGAGCCAUCUUGAAACCCUAUGAGAAGCACACGUGGCAAGGAAUGGAGGUCUGCCAACAGCCACAUCAGCGAGCUUCAAAGUGGAUUCUCCCCCAGUCAUGCCUUGAGAUGACUCGGUCCUGGCUGACACCUUGAUUAUAGCCUCGUGAGAGACCUUGAGCCAGAAUCACCUGCUAAAGCCACUCCUGGAUUCUUGACUGGAAGAAACUGUUGCAAGAUGGCUGUUGCUGUUCCAGCUUUCACAUCUGUGCUUAAUUCAAGAAGUGAGUGGGGAGAAAGCUGUGCUAGUCUUGUCUGACUCUUUAGAAAUCAGAAAAUGAAAACCUUCCCCAGAAGCCUCAUUGAAGAUGUCUGUAUAUAUAUUUCAUAGGUCAUAACUCUCCUGGCUUCAAGGGAGUCUGGAAAUUGAAGAUUUGGCUUUCCAGCCUUUAAGUAGUGAGAGGUGGCAAGGGCUAAAGGUAUCAUGAAUGACCGGCGUCUACCACAAUGUUUCAUGUGGCCUUUAAUAAAAACUGGUAUUAACUUUUGAU